rnacentral:rRNA from 1 species
UACGUAGGGCGCAAGCGUUGUCCGGAAUUAUUGGGCGUAAAGAGCGUGUAGGCGGCUAUACAGGUCCGCUGUGAAAACUCGAGGCUCAACCUCGAGACGUCGGUGGAAACCGUAUGGCUAGAGUCCGGAAGAGGAGAGUGGAAUUCCUGGUGUAGCGGUGAAAUGCGCAGAUAUCAGGAAGAACACCCGUGGCGAAGGCGGCUCUCUGGGACGGUACUGACGCUGAGGUGCGAAAGCGUGGGGAGCAAACAGG